UUUUUAUUUUAUACUUCAAAUCUUGAAUUUAUUUUUUAUGUUUUUUAAAUGUUCAUUUUUUUGAAUGUUUGAUUUAAAAAAAUAUAAAAAAUAAAAUAGAUAUUGACAUGGAUUAAACAAAGAUAUAUAUUAUUCUAUGUUGCAUAAACAAAUUGGCAAAGUAGAGAUGGAAGAUAAAAAUA
rnacentral:misc_RNA from 1 species